CUUACGCUUGAGGAGAACAGAGGGCUUGAGAGCCCCUGUGACUAAAGAUAUAGAUGAUUGUGAGCCACGAUGAAGGAUCUGGGGAUAAAACCAGGGUUCUCUACAAGAGCAACAAGAGAUGUGGAACCUUUGCCGCUAUGGCCUCACUAGAAGACAUGGAUGUCAGUGGAAUCCGCCUCUGGGUCUGCCCUAAGCACUCAACUUCCUGAUGCAACAAGAUGCAAACAAGAUCUGCUCCAAGUUCCCACAGAACUAAAUAAAAUAAAAUAAAAUAAAAAUUGAUUUUAUUGAAAA